rnacentral:lncRNA from 1 species
CCAGUCUCAGGUAGUAUCUUUAGAGCAGUGUGAAAAUGGUCUAAUAAAGAGAAUUUGUGCUGGGGGUGGGGCAGAUGCCAUACUGAUAACCUGAAAAUGUGGAUAUGACUUAAGACCUGGGUAACUGGCAGAGGUUGGAACACUUUGGAGAGCUUAGAAGAAGAGAGGAAGAUGUGGGAAAGUUUGGAACCUCCUAGAGACUUGUUGAAUUGUAGUAACCAAAAUUGGUGAUAGUGAUAUGGACAAUGAAGUCCAGCAUGCGGUGGUAUCAGACAAGUAUGAGGAACUUACUGGGAACUAGAGUAAAAGUCAUCUCAUGAUAUGCUUUAGCAACGAGACUAGUGGCAUUUUGUCCCUGCCCUAGAGAUCUGUGGAACUUUGAACUUGAGAGAGAUGAUUUAGGGUAUUGGGUGGAAGAAAUUUCUAAGCAGCAAAGCAUUCAAGAUGUGACGUGGCUUAUUCUGAAAGUGUUCAGUUAUAUGCGUUCACAAAGAGAUGGUUUGAAAUUGGAAGCUAUGUUUAAAAGGGAAGCAGAGCAUGAAGGUUUGGAAAUUUUGCAGCCUGACCAUAUGGUAGAACAGGGCUGCACUGCUCUGUGCAGCUUCAGGACUUGGUGCUUUGUGUCCCCACCACACCAGCUCCAGCAAUGGCUAAAAGGGGCUGAGGUACAGGUUGGGCCAUUGCUUCGGAGAGUGCAAGCCCCAAGCCUUGGCAGCAUCCACAUGAUGUUGGCCCUAAGGGUGCACAGAAGAGAAGACAUGAGAUUUAGGAACCUCCGCCUAGAUUUCAGAGCAUGUAUGGAAAUGCCUGGAUGUCCAGGCAGAAGUCUGCUGCAGGGUCAGAGCCCUCAUAGAGAACCUCUGCUAGGGUGCUGUGGAAGG